rnacentral:rRNA from 1 species
AGAGUUUGAUCCUGGCUCAGAUUGAAUGCUGGCGGCAUGCCUUACACAUGCAAGUCGAACGGUAACGCGGGGCAACCUGGCGACGAGUGGCGAACGGGUGAGUAAUGCAUCGGAACGUGCCCAGUAGUGGGGGAUAGCCCGGCGAAAGCCGGAUUAAUACCGCAUACGACCUACGGGUGAAAGCGGGGGACCGUAAGGCCUCGCGCUAUUGGAGCGGCCGAUGUCAGAUUAGCUAGUUGGUGGGGUAAAGGCCUACCAAGGCGACGAUCUGUAGCUGGUCUGAGAGGACGACCAGCCACACUGGGACUGAGACACGGCCCAGACUCCUACGGGAGGCAGCAGUGGGGAAUUUUGGACAAUGGGGGCAACCCUGAUCCAGCCAUGCCGCGUGCGGGAAGAAGGCCUUCGGGUUGUAAACCGCUUUUGUCGGGGAAGAAACGGUCUGCGCUAAUACCGCGGGCUAAUGACGGUACCCGAAGAAUAAGCACCGGCUAACUACGUGCCAGCAGCCGCGGUAAUACGUAGGGUGCAAGCGUUAAUCGGAAUUACUGGGCGUAAAGCGUGCGCAGGCGGCUUUGCAAGACAGAUGUGAAAUCCCCGGACUUAACCUGGGAACUGCAUUUGUGACUGCAUGGCUUGGAGUGCGGCAGAGGGGGAUUGGAAUUCCGCGUGUAGCAGUG